AAUAUUUUUCAAUAUCUUAUUUUUAUUGAAGUUGUUUUUUUUUUGAUGAACAGAAGGAAAAUUAAAAAAAAAAAUAAUGCAUAUAACACAACGUUCAUCACAAUACAUUGCAUUAGUAUGAUACAGUGUUAAAUAAGUCAAUGGAUAAAUACAGUAUAAUAUAACAUUUCAUGUGCUAUACAUGUACAUUUUGGUGUAAAACAGUCUUGCAUGCUUGCAAUGCAGAUUGCCUGCUUGAGAAAGAAGGUCACAUAAUCACACCACAUAGAGGCUAAAUUUAAGAUGUUCCGGCAUGCUAACCAAGCCCCAAAUAGCUAACCAUUUAUGUUCUAACACAUAUUAUUCCACACUCAUUGCUUUGUAAAGGGUUAAUGAGAUUGUCUCUUGAUAAACACUGCAGUAUUUUGCCUGCUCCAUUAGUAGCAAUGACAGUGAUGAACAUAUAGUAACCGUAGCAUGAGAGAAAGGGAAAAGGAGAGGGAGAAGAGAAAGAAGGGACAAUAUGAGAAGGACAGUAAGAGAAGAUCAACCAGAGUCUAGGAGGGAGGCCAUGAGAUCCCCAUGCCUCACCAAAAUACCUAUUUGGUGAAUGCUUCCGUAAUCAUCACCACCUACAUUACCUCCAAACAUCAAAAGAUCAGUAUUGUUCCCCCCUUUUUUUCAAUAUAUUGUUAAUCCUAUAUUAUUUCUUGUUUGUGGUAUUUCCCUUUGAAAGAAUUAGGAAUUAUACAACGAUGUCCAGCUUUGCCAAUGUUUACUGUAAGCAGUUUCCCUGCCUCUUUAUAAGCCAUUUUUUCUAAAUGGUACAUAGAGUCCACCCUUGCAAGCACCUCAUCAACACUGGGGAGUGAACACUUUUCCAAUUUCUCGCUAUUGUAAUUUUUGCUGUGAGGAGUACCUGAAUAAUCACUGUUUAGUGAGGGUCUUCGUGUAGAGAAGUUACUAUAUGUAGAAGUUAACAUUCGGGCCGAAAGGGGAUAAGCCUAUCUGUCACUUUGUUUAAUAUAUUCUUUACUUGCUGGCCGUAAAAAAUAUGGGAGAAUGUUCCAGUGUUCUUCCCACACCUCCAGCACGUGGCCGAAGUUGUUGCAUAAAAGGUUGCAAGUUUUUGUGGUACUAUGUACCAUCCAGGGACGUAUUAGCUGCGAGGCAAACAAGGCAUUUGCCUUGGGUGACAUUUUCCAGGGGGCGGCAAAAAAAGCCGCCCCCAAAUGCCCAGGGCAAAUGGCUUGUUAGCCUUGUGGCUAACUGGCAAGCCGGGCGGUCGGUCAGGUGGGCGGCGCUGGUGAGGGAGCAC